rnacentral:rRNA from 1 species
ACACGUAGGAUCCGAGCGUUGUCCGGAUUUACUGGGCGUAAAGGGUGUGUAGGCGGUAUGGUAAGUCUCAUGUGAAAUCUCCCGGCUUAACUGGGAGGGGUCAUGGGAAACGGCCAUGCUCGAGGGCAGCAGAGGAGAGCGGAAUUCCGGGAGUAGCGGUGAUAUGCGUAGAUGCCCGGAGGAACACCCGUGGCGAAAGCGGCUCUCUGGGCUGUACCUGACGCUAAGGCACGAAAGCGUGGGGAGCAAACCGGAUUAGAAACCCGGGUAGUCC